GAUGAACGCUAGCUACAGGCUUAACACAUGCAAGUCGAGGGGUAACAAGAGAAAAGCUUGCUUUUCUUGUUGACGACCGGCGCACGGGUGAGUAACGCGUAUCCAACCUGCCUAUAACUAGGGAAUAACCUUGCGAAAGUAAGACUAAUGCCCUAUGAUUUCCUUUGAUGACAUCAAAUUAGGAAUAAAGAUUUAUCGGUUAUAGAUGGGGAUGCGUCUGAUUAGCUUGUUGGCGGGGUAACGGCCCACCAAGGCAACGAUCAGUAGGGGUUCUGAGAGGAAGGUCCCCCACAUUGGAACUGAGACACGGUCCAAACUCCUACGGGAGGCAGCAGUGAGGAAUAUUGGUCAAUGGGCGGAAGCCUGAACCAGCCAAGUAGCGUGCAGGAUGACGGCCCUAUGGGUUGUAAACUGCUUUUAUACAGGGAUAAAGUUAGCCACGUGUGGUUAUCUGCAGGUACUGUAUGAAUAAGGACCGGCUAAUUCCGUGCCAGCCGCCGCCGUAA
rnacentral:rRNA from 1 species